rnacentral:lncRNA from 1 species
UGAGGCACAGAAAGCCCAAGCUCUUGCACAAGGAUCAGAAGGGGGUAUAACCAGAAUUUGUUUCUCAGCAUCCUGACCAACAAUUAUUUUACCUACUAAACAGGGAAGCCUUUCAAAUAUAAUCCAGGGUAUCCGCUUCAUUUUACAACUAAAGAAAUGAAGGCUGGGUAAGGAUAAAGGACUCACAAAGAUCGUGUGUUUAGUUUCUGCUGGUCUAGACAUCUGGGUUCCAAAAGAAGAAUGCAUCUCCCAGGAGACAUGACAAUGAUUCCAUUCAACAGGAAGUUGAGACUGCCACCUGAACACUUUGGGCUCCUCAUGCCUCUGAAUCAACGGGCAAAGAAGAGAGUUAUAGAUCCUAACCACCCAGGAGAAAUUCGGUGGCCACUACACAAACAGAUCUUGAAAUUACAAGAUAUCCAACUUGAAGCAUGCAUUGGGAGAAGAAUAAAUAUCAUCCAAAGACAAAAAAACAACAACACGACGUUGUGUUCUACUAAAAGGAAAAAAGCCUAUUUUCAGAUGUACUUAGAAGAGAUACACCAUGUUAGCUUUUCUGACUCUGCGGCCAGGUGUUUGUAUUUAACUCCACGGUGAGGAGACUCAUCUUCUGACGGACCUAACCUAUACCAUCAAGCUCCAGCACCACAAGCAAAGACAAAAACCUUGCGGAAACUAUUUAACUAACUCCCACAAUUGCAUAAGGAUCUAAAUGAAAAUAUUUCUGCAGUGAACCAGUUCUAUUGUUUUAAAUAUCACCCUUAUUAAAGAGAGCUUUGACACUUUU